GAAAAACAGCGUCAUUUAAAGUGCUCCACCUCACCUGAUUGUCUUAUAUUUUUCCGCACAAGAGGCACAGUUCUGUGACCUUACCAGACUGGGAGAGGCUUUUCCCUGGAUCUUCUUAAUGGUUCGUUCAUGCAGACUGCCCACCUGGGAGGUCACAGCCCUUGCAGGAAUUAUUUUUCCAUCCUGUCAAUCUAACGCAUCCGUUGAAGCACUAUUACACUCCUUUGGAAAUGCUGUGGACAUGUGGGACAUGCUGAGGAACUGUGUAGGAGCUCGGAAGAAAAGCUACUUUCCUAAGGUGUCCUCCUCUGCACCCAAAGGCACCAAACUCCAUGAGCUCCAUGUCCCCACUCGC